UGACAUUUGUGGCUGUCCCGAGGAAGAUGAGGAACAGAGCCGGGAUUUAAACCCACCUGGCCACUGAGGAGCAGUUACGCAAAAGAAAUAACCAAGCACUGGCACGAGGAGGAAGAAAGGAGAGAAAAAAAAGUCUAGAACACGAAACGAGUGGCCCAGCCCUUGGAUGUUCGGCCAUUGUUCUGGGAGCUGUGAAGCCAAGAGACGGAGAUGAGUGGACUGUGCAUUUGGGC
rnacentral:lncRNA from 1 species